rnacentral:rRNA from 1 species
UACCAGCACCCCGAGUGGUCGGGACGUUUAUUGGGCCUAAAGCAUCCGUAGCCGGUUCUACAAGUCUUCCGUUAAAUCCAACUGCUUAACAGGUGGGCUGCGGAAGAUACUAUAGAGCUAGGAGGCGGGAGAGGCAAGCGGUACUCGAUGGGUAGGGGUAAAAUCCGUUGAUCCAUUGAAGACCACCAGUGGCGAAGGCGGCUUGCCAGGACGCGCUCGACGGUGAGGGAUGAAAGCUGGGGGAGCAAACCGGAUUAGAUACCCUGGACG